ACUUAACCACAAUUCUGCAUCAUUAAUAUGAAAAAGGAACUGUAAGAAUAAUAUGAUGUUCAUAAAGACAAUUGAAAUUCAAUCAACAGAGACGUCUACAGAUAAAUGCUGGUUCCCAACUUUGAAAUUUUGAAUUUUGAGGUUUCUUCAUAUCUUGCCAAUAUAUUGCAACAUCCCAUUUAGUUCUCAAAUUUUAAUGAAAUCAAAGCGAUGCUUAAAUAAUCAACAGAACCAAGGUACCUACUACCUAUUGGUCUCAACUCCAUCAAAGUAAAUGGUCAAAUUCAAUUUAUUUUCAGAGUUGAUUAGUUUCAUUUCCCAGCUUUCAAGUUUAUGAAGCAAAACAUUAUUCUCCACUGUAGUGCAUUCAGAUAUAAUCACAGAGGUGUACUUGAAUAACAAAGUCAAUUCAAUUUCUGAAACCAUAAUUUUCAGAAGAAAUAAAUGCACAGAAGACAAGGCAAGCAAGAUGGUUGGCAGAAUCAGUCUUUGUUACAGCCAUUAUGGUAGUUGAGAAUUUAUAUCACAUAAAAUGGCAGAGAUCAAUAUCCUUA
rnacentral:misc_RNA from 1 species